UUCGGUACGAAGGUGGGUGGUCGACUGGUUGUCGUCAGCUCCGUGUCGUGAGAUGUUGGGUUAAGUCCCGCAACGAGCGCAACCCUAUUGUUAGUUGCCAUCAUUCAGUUGGGCACUCUAGCGAGACUGCCGGUAAUAAACCGGAGGAAGGUGGGGAUGACGUCAAAUCAUCAUGCCCCUUAUGACCUGGGCUACACACGUGCUACAAUGGUUGGUACAACGAGUUGCGAGUCGGUGACGGCGAGCUAAUCUCUUAAAGCCAAUCUCAGUUCGGAUUGUAGGCUGCAACUCGCCUACAUGAAGUCGGAAUCGCUAGUAAUCGCGGAUCAGCACGCCGCGGUGAAUACGUUCCCGGGCCUU
rnacentral:rRNA from 1 species